UACGAAGGGUGCAAGCGUUGUUCGGAAUUAUUGGGCGUAAAGAGCACGUAGGCGGCUUGAUAAGUCGGCUGUGAAAUCCCUGGGCUCAACCUAGGAAUUGCAUCCGAAACUGUCUUGCUAGAGUUUGGUAGGGGAUAAUGGAAUUCCUAGUGUAGGGGUGAAAUCCGUAGAUAUUAGGAGGAACAUCAGUGGCGAAGGCGAUUAUCUGGACCAAUACUGACGCUAAGGUGCGAAAGCGUGGGGAGCAAACAGG
rnacentral:rRNA from 1 species